AGCAAGAUACUCGGUGACCUCCAAAAUAAGAACGUGCCUUUGAUAUGCAGCUACAUCAUGUUGGUUCUCACUGCUCACCCUGAGACUUUAGAACUCAACUGCUGAGAUGUCCCUGCCCAACUGAAUAUUUCUUGCAACGAGUAAUCCUGAAUGAUAAUUUCAUCUGACUGCCUUGAAACUUGUCUCAAGGGUCAGACUGUGCAAAGGGGAAAAAAAAUCCAUCAAGACACAGAUUCUGCCAUUCAUAUCUGAAGCUUGAAAGUGGAAUCAGUGAAACUGCCUAUCAAUUGACAGUGGCAGAAACUUCUGUCUAUAAAGCAAGAGAAAAGUCUCUUGUGGUUCUUCAACUCACCGCCAUGGGACUCAACUUAUCCGCUGUGUGCAAAAGGAGAAAGACUGCACUAAGCCCCCCCUUCCCUGAG
rnacentral:lncRNA from 1 species